rnacentral:rRNA from 1 species
AAACAUUUCUAAAUGAAAUCACAUUUAGUAAGACCUGCUCACUGAAUCCUAAAUAGCCGCGGUCACCCGUGCUAAGGUAGCAUAAUCACUUGCCUUUUAAUUAAAGGCUAGAAUGAAGGGUCAAACAUGCCUCUCCUUUUAUUGAGUUGAUUACUCUAAAUUCUCCUGUAAGUAAGAAGACUUACAUACUCUUGGGGGACGACAAGACCCUGUCGAACUUUACUUAAUGUUUAGCUGGGGUGGCCUCAAACCAAUUCUUUUUCCUAACUUCCUAAAUAUCCCAACCUAAGGAUCCACCAAGUUACCGUAGGGAUAACAGCAUAAUUUAUUCUAAAAGACCGCAUUUAAGAAUAAGAUUGUGACCUCGAUGUUGAAUUAAUAUUCUUCUAGGGGCAAAAUUCUAGAAAGAAAGUCUGUUCGACUUUUAAAUAAUUACGUG